GACGAACGCUGGCGGCGUGCCUAAUACAUGCAAGUCGAACGCGGAAGCGAGGAGCUUGCUCCUCUUGGGUGAGUUGCGAACGGGUGAGUAACGCGUGGGUAACCUGCCUGGUAGCGGGGGAUAACUACUGGAAACGAUAGCUAAUACCGCAUAAAAUUUUUUAUUGCAUGAUAAUUAAUUGAAAGAUGCACCUGCUUCACCACCAGAUGGACCUCCGUUGUAUUAGCUAGUUGGGGAGGUAACGGCUCACCAAGGCGACGAUACAUGGCCGGCCUGGGAGGGGGAACGGCCCACCUGGGACCGGGACAAGGGCCAAAACCCCAACGGAGGCAGCAGUAGGGGAACUUCGGGAAGGGGGGGAAAGCUGAACGAGGAACGGCGCGGGAGGGAAGAAGGGUCUCGGGUCGUAAAGAUCGGUUGUUAAGGGAGAACGAGUUUUAUAAUGGAAAGUUCACACUGUGACGGUAUCUUAUCAGAAAGCCACGGCUAACUACGUG
rnacentral:rRNA from 1 species